CAAGUCUACAAGGUGUCAAGGUACA
rnacentral:siRNA from 1 species